UGGGGAAUAUUGGGCAAUGGGCGCAAGCCUGACCCAGCAACGCCGCGUGAAGGAAGAAGGCUUUCGGGUUGUAAACUUCUUUUAAGGGGGACGAACAAAUGACGGUACCCCUUGAAUAAGCCACGGCUAACUACGUGCC
rnacentral:rRNA from 1 species